UCUAUCUGGUGUUGCUGAGUUUGACAGAU
rnacentral:piRNA from 1 species